UACGUAGGGGGCAAGCGUUAUCCGGAUUUACUGGGUGUAAAGGGAGCGUAGACGGUUGUGCAAGUCAGAAGUGAAAGCCCGGGGCUCAACUCCGGGACUGCUUUUGAAACUGUGUAACUGGAGUGCUGGAGAGGUAAGUGGAAUUCCUAGUGUAGCGGUGAAAUGCGUAGAUAUUAGGAGGAACACCAGUGGCGAAGGCGGCUUACUGGACAGUAACUGACGUUGAGGCUCGAAAGCGUGGGGAGCAA
rnacentral:rRNA from 1 species